rnacentral:rRNA from 1 species
UACGGGGGGGGCAAGCGUUGUUCGGAAUUACUGGGCGUAAAGGGCGCGUAGGCGGCCUUCUAAGUCAGACGUGAAAUCCCUCGGCUCAACCGAGGAACUGCGUCUGAUACUGGAAGGCGUGAAUCCGGGAGAGGGAUGUGGAAUUCCAGGUGUAGCGGUGAAAUGCGUAGAUAUCUGGAGGAACACCGGUGGCGAAGGCGGCAUCCUGGACCGGUAUUGACGCUGAGGCGCGAAAGCUAGGGGAGCAAACGGG